AGUGAACGCUGGCGGUAGGCCUAACACAUGCAAGUCGAGCGGCAGCACAGUAAGAGCUUGCUCUUACGGGUGGCGAGUGGCGGACGGGUGAGGAAUACAUCGGAAUCUACUUUUUCGUGGGGGAUAACGUAGGGAAACUUACGCUAAUACCGCAUACGACCUACGGGUGAAAGCAGGGGAUCUUCGGACCUUGCGCGAUUGAAUGAGCCGAUGUCGGAUUAGCUAGUUGGCGGGGUAAAGGCCCACCAAGGCGACGAUCCGUAGCUGGUCUGAGAGGAUGAUCAGCCACACUGGAACUGAGACACGGUCCAGACUCCUACGGGAGGCAGCAGUGGGGAAUAUUGGACAAUGGGCGCAAGCCUGAUCCAGCCAUACCGCGUGGGUGAAGAAGGCCUUCGGGUUGUAAAGGCCUUUUGUUGGGAAAGAAAAGCAGCAGGUUAAUACCCCGCUGUUCUGACGGUACCCAAAGAAUAAGCACCGGCUAACUUCGUG
rnacentral:rRNA from 1 species